GAUGAACGCUGGCGGCGUGCCUAAUACAUGCAAGUCGAGCGAACGGACGAGAAGCUUGCUUCUCUGAUGUUAGCGGCGGACGGGUGAGUAACACGUGGAUAACCCACCUAUAAGACUGGGAUAACUUCGGGAAACCGGAGCUAAUACCGGAUAAUAUUUUGAACCGCAUGGUUCAAAAGUGAAAGACGGUCUUGAUGUCACUGAUAGAUGGAUCCGCGCUGCAUUAGCUAGUUGGUAGGGUAACGGCUUACCAAGGCAACGAUGCAUAGCCGACCUGAGAGGGUGAUCGGCCACACUGGAACUGAGACACGGUCCAGACUCCUACGGGAGGCAGCAGUAGGGAAUCUUCCGCAAUGGGCGAAAGCCUGACGGAGCAACGCCGCGUGAGUGAUGAAAGUCUUCGGAUCGUAAAACUCUGUUAUUAGGGAAGAACAUAUGUGUAAGUAACUGUGCACAUCUUGACGGUACCUAAUCAGAAAGCCACGGCUAACUACGUG
rnacentral:rRNA from 1 species